UACAGAGGGGGCAAGCGUUGUUCGGAAUUACUGGGCGUAAAGGGCGCGUAGGCGCCUUCUAAGUCGAACGUGAAAUCCCCCGGGCUCAACCCGGGAACUGCGUCCGAUACUGGAAGGCUUGAAUCCGGGAGAGGGAUGCGGAAUUCCAGGUGUAGCGGUGAAAUGCGUAGAUAUCAGGAGGAACACCGGUGGCGAAGGCGGCUAUCUGGACAGAAACUGACGCUGAGGCGCGAAAGCUAGGGGAGCAAACAGG
rnacentral:rRNA from 1 species